AUUGAACGCUGGCGGCAGGCUUAACACAUGCAAGUCGAGCGAGGAAAGGUAGCUUGCUACUUGACCUAGCGGCGGACGGGUGAGUAAUGCUUAGGAAUCUGCCUAUUAGUGGGGGACAACAUCUCGAAAGGGAUGCUAAUACCGCAUACGUCCUACGGGAGAAAGCAGGGGACCUUCGGGCCUUGCGCUAAUAGAUGAGCCUAAGUCGGAUUAGCUAGUUGGUGGGGUAAAGGCCUACCAAGGCGACGAUCUGUAGCGGGUCUGAGAGGAUGAUCCGCAACACUGGGACUGAGACACGGCCCAGACUCCUACGGGAGGCAGCAGUGGGGAAUAUUGGACAAUGGGGGGAACCCUGAUCCAGCCAUGCCGCGUGUGUGAAGAAGGCCUUUUGGUUGUAAAGCACUUUAAGCGAGGAGGAGGCUACCGAGAUUAAUACUCUUGGAUAGUGGACGUUACUCGCAGAAUAAGCACCGGCUAACUCUGUGCCAGCAGCCGCCGUAAAAC
rnacentral:rRNA from 1 species